rnacentral:rRNA from 1 species
AUUGAACGCUGGCGGCAGGCCUAACACAUGCAAGUCGAGCGGAUGAAGGGAGCUUGCUCCUGGAUUCAGCGGCGGACGGGUGGGUAAUGCCUAGGAAUCUGCCUGGUAGUGGGGAAUAACGUCCGGAAACGGGCGCUAAUACCGCAUACGUCCUGAGGGAGAAAGUGGGGGAUCUUCGGACCUCACGCUAUCAGAUGAGCCUAGGUCGGAUUAGCUAGUUGGUGGGGUAAAGGCCUACCAAGGCGACGAUCCGUAACUGGUCUGAGAGGAUGAUCAGUCACACUGGAACUGAGACACGGUCCAGACUCCUACGGGAGGCAGCAGUGGGGAAUAUUGGACAAUGGGCGAAAGCCUGAUCCAGCCAUGCCGCGUGUGUGAAGAAGGUCUUCGGAUUGUAAAGCACUUUAAGUUGGGAGGAAGGGCAGUAAGUUAAUACCUUGCUGUUUUGACGUUACCAACAGAAUAAGCACCGGCUAACUUCGUG